CCUACGAGAGGCAGCAGUGAGGAAUAUUGGACAAUGGACGAGAGUCUGAACCAGCAAAGGAGCGUGAAGGAUGACUGCUUUAUGGGUGGUAAACUUUAUUAAUAGGGGAAUAAAAUGUUCCACGUGUGGGAGUUUGUAUGGACCAUAUGAAUAAGGAACGGCUGAAUCUGUGCCAGCGGCCGAGGUAAUACGGAGGAUCCGAGCGUUAUACGGAUUUAUUGGGUUUAAAGGGAGCGUAGGUGGAUUGUUAAGUCAGUUCUGAAAGUUUUCGGCUCAACCGUAAAAUUGCAGUUGAAACGGGCAGUCUUGAGUACAGUAGAGGUUGGCGGAAUUCGUGGUGUAGCGGUGAAAUGCUUAGAUAUCACGAAGAACUCCGAUUGCGAAGGCAGCUCACUGGACUGCAACUGACGCUGAGGCUCGAAAGUGUGGGUAUCAAACAGGAUUAGAUACCCUAGUAGUC
rnacentral:rRNA from 1 species